GGCAUAGUAAGAAUCAAAGUUGCUACGGAAAAGAAUCUUGCCGUGUAUCUUAUAUUAUUAGAACAUAGAGACUGGAGGAUAGUGCAUACAAGAUGAUGUAUGAUCCUGAACUUCGAAACCAAUACUGGAAUUGAUUACCAAGAAAAUUCAACGGAAGUAUACAGACACCAGAGGAAUAUCAACGUCUUCGUCGUUGUCGUCAUCACAGGCAACAACAACAUCCAAGUGACGGCGGUAUGGUGGUAUCUCCAUCUUUGCCACGUCCCUCGCCAAAUCUACUACUUUCUGGUCCAUCCGUUCUUUGUGCCGGGGGAACAUGCUGUUAAAGAGCAGGCAGCUUCCACAUGAAAUGCUGUAUGCAUUCAGUCCUUUGUCUGCAAGCCAUUGGAUUAGUUCUCUCAGUGUAGGAUUGUCCUUGAUGACCCACCUAUCCCAAACAGUCCAGCUCAGGUCAUUAUGUUUGAUGAUCUUGGGUGGUACUGGCUCAGCUAUGGAAAAAAGAGGUAGAGCAAGGUUGGCAAACGUGUUCCGGUAGUCCUCCAGUUUGUGACUGCCAUCUAGAACCUUAUACAGCUCAAGGCAAACCAAACCUGUAGCCAUCGCAGUAGUAGUUGCGAUUGCUGGGAUGAUCCUUCCCGCGAUAAACUUAGCUUUCAGUUUGUCAACUUCGGGGAUACAGUAGUUCCUUGCUCUCAUGUUGGCAAGUGCAGCUAUAAGAUCCAUAUGGAAAUUAGUGUCAUCGUCCUUCUCAAAUUGAAUAGGUUUCAUCCUGAAGCCUGGUGGCAAAUUCUUCCUACCGCACUCCAGCUUUGAUAUAAGUUCAUCGAUAACCGCAGCAUCAUCUAUAGAAGCUGAUGAAGAGAGACUGGUUGCCUUCUCAUCAGUCACAAUUUUCGCAUCUUUUCUAGGUUGAAAACAUGGGACCAUAACCUUGUGCACUGCUUCACUCAAUUUCUGUGGGUGCUUAACCCAAUCAGGAAUAGGUAUACCAAAUGUUUCAGCACGCAAUAUGGAUGCAGCCAUGAUAAAAUGGAGAUGACUUGGGUCGGUAGAAGAGAACUGCAAGGGGCGAGGGAAGCGCUUGGGGGCUGACCAAAAAGGGGCUCCAGAGCUGGUCACUGCAUCCUCCGGGAAUGUGAAAAUCAAUUGUUUUACUCGGUUUGCAAAAUAUUCUUCAAACUUGAGACGUGCCCAUGCAAUGCAAUCUUCAAAAGUUUCACAGCUUUCUCGAUCUAGACAUUCGAGAAUACGCUCCAAAUUGUCUCUGGCUUGAGCAUCCCCAGCAUUUGUUUGUGCAGAUGUAUAUUCGUUUGGAUUAGAAAGAUAAGCAUUCACUUCGGCUGGUGUUUUCUCAAGCAAACCCUCAAAUUCGGAUCGUGCCCAUGUCAAACAAUGAUCUAUAUUAUGUGGGAAGGAAUGCAAAGUGCACAUUGGUGCUUGUUUCUCUGGAGGAUCUCUUGAUGCACCAUAAUUCUCAGUCAGAUGGGGAAUCACCAUCUGAGUGUUACAUUUGGCUCCAAGGGUCCCUGAUUCAAGCAGUGGCUUCUGAAAGUACAAGCAUCUCUGAUCGACAUAAAGUCUUGCAUUGACAUUGUCAAGUGCGUUAAUAACCACACUAAGAUUCUCCCAGAAAGUGUCAUCAAACACAUUUUCAGUUUCAGGACCCACACGGUUCUGCAAAGCUUCAACCCGGAGCUGGGGAUUUAUUGAUGUUGCAGCAGCAGCAGCAACAGUAGAUUUUGCCUGGCCGAUGUUCCAAUCACGGAAGAGAAAUUGUCUACUGAGAUUACUCUUCUCAAUGACAUCAUCAUCAGUCACUGUUAAUUUCCCUUGCUCGGUGCAUGCAACUCCCAUUAAAGCCAAGUUCUUCAGGAACUCACAACCCAGGGCACCAGAUCCCACCAUAAACACCUUGGCAUCUUCUAGUUUCUUCUGGAAUUUCUUCCCAAAGACUGAGAUUUGGGCAUCAUACCGAGUAUUUAAUGGCUUCAAAUCACUAGGAUCAAGUGGUUCAGUUGGAAGUGAUUCCAGGGAGUCAAAGUAAAAGAACUGAUAAAGUGGAUGAAACUUCCCAGAGCAAGCCUUCACAACCUCCUGCCCGACAAUACCACCAAACAUAGCAGCC
rnacentral:misc_RNA from 1 species